AGGAGCUUUCCUUUCACUUAUUUUCAGUGUUUUUUGAAUAAUAUGAUUUAUUACUUGGUCUUUCAGGGUUUGUUAGAAGGAGUUGGUCAUCCAUUUACUAGGAACUUCCAUUUUAUUGAUUCACUGAAAGCAUACCUAUCAAUCUAUCAUAUGCUUUGUUGCUAGCUUCAGUUUCGCCGUCCCCUAUCAUAUUACAGUAUGCAACUGGAAUUUUUUUUUAGUGCUUUUGUUGCGGUUUAGAGAAAGUCUCAAGGGUGAAAUAUGCAUCUUCUUUCCUUUGAUAGUUCUCCAGUCCCUGGAUGGCUUGGAUUUAUCCAUGAACCAAAAAAUGAGUGUCCUUAGGUAUUGCCUUUUCUGGUUAUCACAUUGCUAGUAUCUUGAACAUGUCACUCUCAGUUUUCACAUGGCUAAUGUGAUCACUAUGAUUUUGAAUUUCUUUUUCUGGUCGUCUAAUGAGGUGCGGGAUUGCAGGAUGGUUGAAAAGGUUUGCAAGGAUCUUCAGAUGCUUGUUGACAUAUUUGUGAACUAUGACUGUGAUCUUGAGGCACUGAACUUGUUUGAGCGGAUGAAUAUCUCAAGGGAUGCAAAAUGCAGAUCCAAUAUGGCUGUUACGUCCCAGACUACUUCAAUAAAGG